UUACGGUGCCAUGACUUGGAUAGGGUCAGAUUCAUCACUGAACCCCCAGGCUUCCCACCCAGGGUCCUACAUGCAUGGUUUUGAGGCCUUUGUCUUCACUCCUGACCGAUUGAUUUGGGGAUCCAGUGCUUUUACUAGGUCUGUGAUUACUUAAGAAAAUUGAGUCUCCCCAAUAUUAAAAGAGGACACAAUUGAAAACACUGGCUACAUCACCAAGGCUGGAAUGUUAUAUUGAUUGGAAUGUUAUAUUUUCUAAUACGACCAGACAGCUUAAGGAACUAAAAUUGACUUUGAAGAGCCUGGGAAGACAGCUUGGAAAACUGUUUCAAACCUUACCAAUGAGAAAGGAAUGUCACUUCCUGACAAGUCCAGAAAUCUUAGAUAUUUGGGGGACCUCAAGAAAAGAGGAAUUUGCCAAAUCUAUAAGUGUUACAGAUGAAACCUGUUGGCAAGUCCUUGGCCUGGCUUCCUUACCUUCAGAGGCUUCUACCAGUUCAAUCUGAGAUUCCUUUUAUUUUCUUUUUUGAGACGGAGUCUCGCUCUGUCCCCCAGGCUGGAGUGCA
rnacentral:lncRNA from 1 species